UCGAAACUUGCCAUUUAAAAUGGUGCCUUCGAUAACUUUUUUCAUUAAUUUUUAAUGACUAAUCGCGUACCGUUGCAUAGCCGUGGCGG
rnacentral:pre_miRNA from 1 species